rnacentral:rRNA from 1 species
GCACAAUGGGGGCAACCCUGAUGCAGCCAUGCCGCGUGUGUGAAGAAGGCCUUCGGGUUGUAAAGCACUUUCAGUUGUGAGGAAAGGUUAGUAGUUAAUACCUGCUAGCUGUGACGUUAACAACAGAAGAAGCACCGGCUAACUCCGUGCCAGCAGCCGCGGUAAUACGGAGGGUGCGAGCGUUAAUCGGAAUUACUGGGCGUAAAGCGCACGCAGGCGGUCUGUUAAGCUAGAUGUGAAAGCCCCGCGCUCAACGUGGGAGGGUCAUUUAGAACUGGCAGACUAGAGUCUUGGAGAGGGGAGUGGAAUUCCAGGUGUAGCGGUGAAAUGGGUAGAGAUCUGGAGGAACAUCAUGGCCAAGGCACUUCCUGGCCAAAGACUGACGCUCAUGUGCGAAAGUGUGGGUAGCGAACAGGAUUAGAUACCCUGGUAGUCCACACCUAAACGCUGGCUACUUACUGUGUGUGAAUUAAUUCUUAAGUUGCGGAGCUAACGCAUAGUAGACCGCCUGGGGAGUACGGCCGCAAGGUUAAAACUCAAAUGAAUUUGCGGGGGCCCCCAACGGGACAUUGGUAUUCUUCAC